UGGGGGAUAUUGCACAAUGGGGGAAACCCUGAUGCAGCGACGCCGCGUGAAGGAAGAAGUAUCUCGGUAUGUAAACUUCUAUCAGCAGGGAAGAUAGUGACGGUACCUGACUAAGAAGCCCCGGCUAACUACGUGCCAGCAGCCGCGGUAAUA
rnacentral:rRNA from 1 species